rnacentral:lncRNA from 1 species
CCUUCAUUAAGGUCCCAACUUCACCAGUAUGGCUUCUGGAUGCCACACAAAUCUCUUUUAGGCACCCAUCUCCUAUACAUUCUCAGUGCCCUUUGGACACCCAGAGCAGUUCUGCAAUAGUUUGGAGUCAUGCAAGUUUGUACUAGUUUCUUCUACAACCCUCUGGGAAGAUGUAAUGUUGGAAGAAUUCACUACACCUGUUUUCAUCUUCUCAAGGCAAAGCUGGCAGCUCUUCUUGGCUUUGAGGUUUCCUGGGUCAGUGUGAUGCCCUGGUUGAUGUCCGAAGUCUUACUAAAGGCUUUUUGUAUUCGUGUUGUUGGUAAGUCGUUGCUUCUUUGAUGAACAUGGUCAGGGACUUCCUGUGCCAC